rnacentral:rRNA from 1 species
CCCUUAGAUGUUCUGAACCGCACGCGUGUUACAAUGAUGUGUUCAACGAGCAUAUAACCUUGGCCGAGAGGCCUGGGCAAUCUUUUUAAUGCACAUCGUGUUAGGGAUAGAUUAUUGCAAUUAUUAAUCUUGAACGAGGAAUUCCUAGUAAACGCAGAUCAUCAAUCUGCAUUGAUUACGUCCCUGCCCUUUGUACACACCGCCCGUCGCUCCUACCGAUUGAAUGUUCCGGUGAGCUCUUCGGACUGCGCGGUCUGCAGUUUCUGCGUUCCGUGCGGAAAGUUGCGCAAACCUUAACAUUUAGAGGAAGGAGAAGUCGUAACA